AUGGCUUCCGAGGCCGCCUCACUGGUACAGCAGCUAGUGGACAUGAGUGCCCCUGUGCAGCUCCUCAGCUUCCUGCUGCUCUGGCUCCCGGGUGCCAGGUGUGAUAUCCAGAUGACCCAGUCUGCAUCCACGUCUGCAUCUCUGGGAGAGAAAUUCCUCAUCACCUGCAGAACCAGUCAGAACAUUAAGAAAAAUGUGAACUGGUAUCAGCAGAAACCAGGAAAAGCUCCUAGGAUCUUGAUCACUGAUGGAUCCAGUUUACAAAUGGGGGUCCCUCUCUGGUUCAGUGGCAGUGGGUCUGGGACAGAUUUCACUCUCACCAUUAGCAGCGUGGAGCCUGAAGAUGCUGCCACUUAUUACUGUCUGCAGUAUGAGAAUAUGCCUCGCACAUGGGGUCAUGGGAAGCUGAAUGUAGAGUAG